rnacentral:antisense_RNA from 1 species
CGUUAUGGCGGCUGUGUGUGGGAGACCUUCGGGUCUGCCGGUUUGCCGAUUCCGGUCUUGCACACCUAUACACAGCUGCCACCUCA